rnacentral:rRNA from 1 species
AACGAACGCUGGCGGCAUGCCUCACACAUGCAAGUCGAACGAGACCUCCGGGUCUAGUGGCGCACGGGUGCGUAACGCGUGGGAAUCUACCCUUGGGUUCGGAAUAACAGUUAGAAAUGACUGCUAAUACCGGAUGAUGACGUAAGUCCAAAGAUUUAUCGCCCAAGGAUGAGCCCGCGUAAGAUUAGCUUGUUGGUGGGGUAAUGGCCUACCAAGGCGACGAUCUUUAGCUGGUCUGAGAGGAUGAUCGGCCACACUGGGACUGAGACACGGCCCAGACUCCUACGGGAGGCAGCAGUGGGGAAUAUUGGACAAUGGGCGUAACCCUGAUCCAGCAAUGCCGCGUGAGUGAUGAAGGCCUUAGGGUUGUAAAGCUCUUUUACCAGGGAUGAUAAUGACAGUACCUGGAGAAUAAGCUCCGGCUAACUCCGUGCCAGCCGCCGCAGUAA